rnacentral:tRNA from 1 species
GGCCUCGUAGCUCAGCUUGUAGAGCGUGCGUCCAUGCGUGGGUUCGAAUCCCACCGGGGCUA